CCUACGGGUGGCAGCAGUGGGGAAUAUUGGAUAAUGGGCGAAAGCCUGAUCCAGCCAUGCCGCGUGUGUGAAGAAGGCCUUCGGGUUGUAAAGCACUUUCAGUGGGGAAGAAAGCCUUGGGGCUAAUACCCUCGAGGAAGGACAUCACCCACAGAAGAAGCACCGGCUAACUCCGUGCCAGCAGCCGCGGUAAUACGGAGGGUGCGAGCGUUAAUCGGAAUUACUGGGCGUAAAGCGCGCGUAGGCGGUCUGAUAAGCCGGUUGUGAAAGCCCCGGGCUCAACCUGGGAACGGCAUCCGGAACUGUCAGGCUAGAGUGCAGGAGAGGAAGGUAGAAUUCCCGGUGUAGCGGUGAAAUGCGUAGAGAUCGGGAGGAAUACCAGUGGCGAAGGCGGCCUUCUGGACUGACACUGACGCUGAGGUGCGAAAGCGUGGGUAGCAAACAGGAUUAGAUACCCCUGUAGUC
rnacentral:rRNA from 1 species